AGUGAACGCUGGCGGUAGGCCUAACACAUGCAAGUCGAACGGCAGCACAGUAAGAGCUUGCUCUUACGGGUGGCGAGUGGCGGACGGGUGAGGAAUACAUCGGAAUCUACUUUUUCGUGGGGGAUAACGUAGGGAAACUUACGCUAAUACCGCAUACGACCUACGGGUGAAAGCAGGGGAUCUUCGGAACUUGCGCGAUUGAAUGAGCCGAUGUCGGAUUAGCUAGUUGGCGGGGUAAAGGCCCACCAAGGCGACGAUCCGUAGCUGGUCUGAGAGGAUGAGCAGCCACACUGGAACUGAGACACGGGCCAGACUCCUACGGGAGGCAGCAGUGGGGAAUAUUGGACAAUGGGCGCAAGCCUGAUCCAGCCAUACCGCGUGGGUGAAGAAGGCCUUCGGGUUGUAAAGCCCUUUUGUUGGGAAAGAAAAGCAGCAGGUUAAUACCCCGCUGUUCUGACGGUACCCAAAGAAUAAGCACCGGCUAACUUCGUG
rnacentral:rRNA from 1 species